rnacentral:rRNA from 1 species
CCUACGGGAGGCAGCAGUGGGGGAUAUUGCACAAUGGGGGGAACCCUGAUGCAGCGACGCCGCGUGAAGGAAGAAGGCCCUCGGGUUGUAAACUUCUUUUAUCAAGGACGAAACAAAUGACGGUACUUGAUGAAUAAGCCACGGCUAACUACGUGCCAGCAGCCGCGGUAAUACGUAGGUGGCAAGCGUUAUCCGGAUUUACUGGGUGUAAAGGGCUUGUAGGCGGGACUGAAAGUCAGAUGUGAAAACCAUGGGCUCAACCCAUGGCCUGCAUUUGAAACUGUAGUUCUUGAGGGUUGGAGAGGCAGGCGGAAUUCGGUGUGUAGCGGUGAAAUGCGUAGAUAUCCGGAGGAACACCAGUGGCGAAGGCGGCCUGCUGGACAAUAACUGACGCUGAGGCGCGAAAGCGUGGGGAGCAAACAGGAUUAGAUACCCCUGUAGUC